GGCGGGACACGUGGUAUCCUGUCUGAAUAUGGGGGGACCAUCCUCCAAGGCUAAAUACUCCUGACUGACCGAUAGUGAACCAGUACCGUGAGGGAAAGGCGAAAAGAACCCCGGCGAGGGGAGUGAAAAAGAACCUGAAACCGUGUACGUACAAGCAGUGGGAGCACAGGUUUACCUGUGUGACUGCGUACCUUUUGUAUAAUGGGUCAGCGACUUAUAUUCUGUAGCAAGGUUAACCGUAUAGGGGAGCCGGAGGGAAACCGAGUCUUAACCGGGCGUUAAGUUGCAGGGUAUAGACCCGAAACCCGGUGAUCUAGCCAUGGGCAGGUUGAAGGUUGGGUAACACUAACUGGAGGACCGAACCGACUAAUGUUGAAAAAUUAGCGGAUGACCUGUGGCUGGGGGUGAAAGGCCAAUCAAACCGGGAGAUAGCUGGUUCUCCCCGAAAGCUAUUUAGGUAGCGCCUCGUGAAUUCAUCUCCGGGGGUAGAGCACUGUUUCGGCUAGGGGGCCAUCCCGGCUUACCAACCCGAUGCAAACUGCGAAUACCGGAGAAUGUUAUCACGGGAGACACACGGCGGGUGCUAACGUCCGUCGUGAAGAGGGAAACAACCCAGACCGCCAGCUAAGGUCCCAAAGUCAUGGUUAAGUGGGAAACGAUGUGGGAAGGCCCAGACAGCCAGGAUGUUGGCUUAGAAGCAGCCAUCAUUUAAAGAAAGCGUAAUAGCUCACUGGUCGAGUCGGCCUGCGCGGAAGAUGUAACGGGGCUAAACCAUGCACCGAAGCUGCGGCAGCGAACGUAUCACCCAAGACAACUUUACGGAGUUGACGAUUGACGGAGCGAAGCGACGUCAAAGCGUUCAUUAAAGUCGAGUUGGCUUAGGGAUACGUUCGUUGGGUAGGGGAGCGUUCUGUAAGCCUGUGAAGGUGUGUCGUGAGGC
rnacentral:rRNA from 1 species